rnacentral:misc_RNA from 1 species
UAAAGAGUGACGGCCAUAUUCAUGUGAACAAAGGAGUGGCUGAUCCUGUCCUUUGUUCGUCUCCUUGUUAUAAUACUUGAGAUCCCCCGGAACGAUUUCCGUUGUAUUGACAGGUAACGGAGGAUAUAAAGUUUCAAUUUCACUGGAAAGAACUAUCGCUUUCUCUUCAUUUUUGUGCUUGAAACUAUGAAGCACUGACAUUUUCUGCUGUUUGCAACUUACGAGUGCCUCACAUUG